AUCGCUUCUCGGCCUUUUGGCUAAGAUCAAGUGUAUAAUUUUUUAUCUUAUUUUGCGUCUAUUUUAAUAAAUUAAU
rnacentral:sRNA from 1 species